GAUGAACGCUGGCGGCGUGCCUAAUACAUGCAAGUAGAACGCUGAAGGAAGGAGCUUGCUCUUUCCGGAUGAGUUGCGCACGGGUGAGUAACGCGUAGGUAACCUGCCUGGUAGCGGGGGAUAACUAUUGGAAACGAUAGCUAAUACCGCAUAACAGUAGAUGUUGCAUGAUUUCUACUUAAAAGGUGCAAUUGCACCACUACCAGAUGGACCUGCGUUGUAUUAGCUAGUUGGUGAGGUAACGGCUCACCAAGGCGACGAUACAUAGCCGACCUGAGAGGGUGAUCGGCCACACUGGGACUGAGACACGGCCCAGACUCCUACGGGAGGCAGCAGUAGGGAAUCUUCGGCAAUGGACGGAAGUCUGACCGAGCAACGCCGCGUGAGGGAAGAAGGUUUUCGGAUCGUAAAGCUCUGUUGUAAGAGAAGAACGAGGGUGAGAGUGGAAAGUUCACACUGUGACGGUAUCUUACCAGAAAGGGACGGCUAACUACGUG
rnacentral:rRNA from 1 species